rnacentral:lncRNA from 1 species
CACAAGAAUUUACUUAGUUCGGCAAUCGUGCCUACGCCCACAAACCCACACCAAUUCUUUUACUGUAUCAACAAGAGAAUAAAAGGAAUACAACAAAUACACUCUCUGUAUUUUAUUUGCCUACGCAAAGACAAUCUCUCAAUUUUUUCUCAUUAAUUUCUUGCACAAACGAAAGCCUAACUGCUUCUCACUUUGUGCUUACUCACUAUCUCUCGUGUUUUCACUCUACACAAUUUUCUUGCACUUCUCUUUUGCUCACGUUUUGGCACACUACUUUCCUCCCACUUUG